UACGGAAGGCAGCAGUGGGGAAUAUUGCACAAUGGGCGCAAGCCUGAUGCAGCCAUGCCGCGUGUAUGAAGAAGGCCUUCGGGUUGUAAAGUACUUUCAGUCGUGAGGAAGGUGUUAAGGUUAAUAACCUUAGCAAUUGACGUUAGCGACAGAAGAAGCACUGGCUAACUCCGUGCCAGCAGCCGCGGUAAUACGGAGGGUGCGAGCGUUAAUCGGAAUUACUGGGCGUAAAGGGCACGCAGGCGGUUAAUUAAGUUGGAUGUGAAAUCCCCGGGCUUAACCUGGGAAUGGCAUUCAAGACUGGUUAGCUAGAGUCUUGUAGAGGGGGUUAGAAUUCCAUGUGUAGCGGUGAAAUGCGUAGAGAUGUGGAGGAAUACCGGUGGCGAAGGCGGCCCCUGGGACAAAGACUGACGCUCAUGUGCGAAAGCGUGGGGAGCAAACAGGAUUAGAUACC
rnacentral:rRNA from 1 species